GAUGAACGCUGGCGGCGUGCCUAAUACAUGCAAGUCGAGCGAACAGACGAGGAGCUUGCUCCUCUGACGUUAGCGGCGGACGGGUGAGUAACACGUGGAUAACCUACCUAUAAGACUGGGAUAACUUCGGGAAACCGGAGCUAAUUCCGGAUAAUAUAUCGAACCGCAUGGUUCAAUAGUGAAAGACGGUUUUGCUGUCACUUAUAGAUGGAUCCGCGCCACAUUAGCUCGUUUGUAAGGUAACUGCUGACCAAGGCAAGUAUGCUUAGCCGACCUGAGAGGAUGAUCGACCACACUCGAACUGGGCCACGUUCCAGACUCCUACGGGAAGCAGCAGUAGGGAAUCUUACGCAAUGGGCGCAAGCCUUACAGAGCCACGCCGCGCGAGUGAUGUAGGUCUUCGGAUCCUAAAACUCUGUUAUUAGGGAAGAACAAGUGUGUAAGUAACUAUGCGCGUCUUGACGGUACCUUGUCAGAAAGCCACGGCUAACUACGUC
rnacentral:rRNA from 1 species